GCCGUGAUCGUCUAGUGGUCAAGACGUUGCGUUAUUUAAUCGCAAUAACCCAGGUUCGAGUCCUGGUCACGGCA